GUAUGAAGUUGACGUAAGUGAGCGUGGCACAGCGUAACUAGGGCGACGGUAGUCAAUGGAGGCGGAAGCCAUGUCGACCCUGCAACAUUGUACUUAUGAUUAGUCGGCACAGUCUCCAAGAAAGACUGUGAAGAGGUCGUCCUAGUUACCUGGUCGCUAAUGGCCUGAUUGGUCAGGAGUGGGAAAAGAGGAGUUAAGUUAGUGGAUCUAAGGUUUCUCGGGACAGACGAGAACGAGUAAGCAGUGAGACAAGAGCUCUGAAGAGGGUUAUCAUUGUUUUAACGGCCUUCAACGUUAUCUACAACGUUCAUCUGUGAGAGGUCAUCGCUUGUAUUCUGAUGUGUAUGGAUUCGAUAGGAGUGUAUCGACUUCACCCAUACAAGUGAUAUGGCAUUGGCCACCGUGGAUUACUCUGAAGGAUUAUAGAUUCGUUAACGAUCAUCGGCGUUGAUCUGCAACGUUUAACCGUAUAAGGUGUAACCCAGACACCACCUCGUAUUGUAUGGUGUGGUAACCACCAGCCAGACAGAGGCCCCGCCCAAGAAGGCUCAAGCCGUGGCAAAAAAGAAUCCUGGACGAUUACUUCCAAAUAUACAGGUUCCCUCCAGCAUCACGCUGGAGAACCCUUGCACAAAGGACGCGCCUGUCGCAAAAACGAGUCAAGAGAUGGUUUCAAAACCGCCGCAGGGUAUGGAGGCGCAGACAGAUAUAAAAGCGGAGGAGGUCUGUGUUUUGUUCCACGACACAGUAUAUCACAACAUCUUGUAUGGCGAUCUCAAGAAAUGUGAACAGGAUGUUUACAGGACAGCUGAAAUGUCAGAAAUUCAUGAUGCAAUCAUGAUACGUUUUCCACUCAAGUACCAAACACAAGUUGGUGAACGAGGACUGAAGCAGUCAGGUGGUGAGAAACAGCGCAUUGCCAUUGCUCGAGCAAUUAUGAAAGACCCAAAUAUCCUCGUGUAUGAUGAAGCAACAUCUUCCUUAGACACAAUUACUGAACAGGUACAACUGUAUUUCUUGUGUCAUCUUCAUUCUGCAUUUUCCACCUUUUAUUGGCCUGCUUUAUUUUUUCCCUCAAACCUUGCUCCCACUUAAAUC